GCUAUACAUGCAGUCGAGCGAACAGAUAAGGAGCUUGCUCCUUUGACGUUAGCGGCGGACGGGUGAGUAACACGUGGGUAACCUACCUAUAAGACUGGGAUAACUUCGGGAAACCGGAGCUAAUACCGGAUAAUAUUUCGAACCGCAUGGUUCGAUAGUGAAAGAUGGUUUUGCUAUCACUUAUAGAUGGACCCGCGCCGUAUUAGCUAGUUGGUAAGGUAACGGCUUACCAAGGCGACGAUACGUAGCCGACCUGAGAGGGUGAUCGGCCACACUGGAACUGAGACACGGUCCAGACUCCUACGGGAGGCAGCAGUAGGGAAUCUUCCGCAAUGGGCGAAAGCCUGACGGAGCAACGCCGCGUGAGUGAUGAAGGUCUUCGGAUCGUAAAACUCUGUUAUUAGGGAAGAACAUACGUGUAAGUAACUGUGCACGUCUUGACGGUACCUAAUCAGAAAGCCACGGCUAACUACGUGCCAGCAGCCGCGGUAAUACGUAGGUGGCAAGCGUUAUCCGGAAUUAUUGGGCGUAAAGCGCGCGUAGGCGGUUUUUUAAGUCUGAUGUGAAAGCCCACGGCUCAACCGUGGAGGGUCAUUGGAAACUGGAAAACUUGAGUGCAGAAGAGGAAAGUGGAAUUCCAUGUGUAGCGGUGAAAUGCGCAGAGAUAUGGAGGAACACCAGUGGCGAAGGCGACUUUCUGGUCUGCAACUGACGCUGAUGUGCGAAAGCGUGGGGAUCAAACAGGAUUAGAUACCCUGGUAGUCCACGCCGUAAACGAUGAGUGCUAAGUGUUAGGGGGUUUCCGCCCCUUAGUGCUGCAGCUAACGCAUUAAGCACUCCGCCUGGGGAGUACGACCGCAAGGUUGAAACUCAAGGAAUUGACGGGGACCCGCACAAGCGGUGGGAGCAUGUGGUUUAAUUCGAAGCAACGCGAAGAACCCUUACCAAAUCUUGACAUCCUUUGACAACUCUAGAGAUAGAGCUUUCCCCUUCGGGGGACAAAGUGACAGGUGGUGCAUGGUGUCGUCAGCUCGUGU
rnacentral:rRNA from 2 species